GGGAAUUUGAAAAAUUAUAAGUGUGUGACACUGAGUCUGCAUGUAUGAUGUAUCCUUUUUACCUUUUCCUCCAUUGUUGUUUGGGGGUCAGGAUACGUGGAGCCUGAGGCCCUCCCUGUGAACCAAGAGGGAUUGAGUAUGUGAACUCCAGCCUAGAUGGAACAGGACCAAGUCAGUGUAUAUAAGUAAGAGAACUUGUGUGUAGGGGCCAAGUGUAGGACUUGCUGCACUGGAGACAUGGGAGGCUCCACCUACACUGAACAUAGACAGAUCUCAGACCCCAACCAGAGGGGUGAGAUCAGCCUAAGAAAAUUAAAAGAUGGUUCCAACACAGUCUGCAAGAACCUACAUGGGGAGAAGACGGAUAGUAGAGGGCUCUUUAAUGUAGCAGAAAAAGGCAUUAGAAGAUCCAAGGUAUUAUGACACUCAGAAUGGGGACUUUAGAAAGCAGAAAUGACAUAAGUGAAUAACGUUCCUAACUAUGGAAAUAAUGCAAGCAGGUAGCUGUGUAACAAUAGAAUGGGUUCCAGCACAUAUCGGAAUACCUGGAAAUAAGAUGGCUGACAAAGCAGCAAGACAAAACUCUAAAAAAAUGAGGAAGUGGAUAUGGUGGAUAUUAAGAUACCCAUAUGUUGACAAGAAUUUAAAAGUGUGAUCACAAAGGAGCUUGCGAAGGAAUGGCAAGAAUUAUGGACUGAGGAAACAAAAGGUUUUAUGAUAUAUGCUAAAAAAAAUCGAAGAUA